AUACGGAGGGUGCAAGCGUUAAUCGGAAUUACUGGCCGUAAAGAGUACGUAGGUUGUUUACUCAGUCAGAUGUGAAAGCCCAGGGCUUAACCUUGGAACUGCAUUUGAUACUGGUAGACUAGAGUAUGGUAGAGGGGGGUAGAAUUCAUAGUGUAGCGGUGAAAUGCGUAGAUAUUAUGAGGAAUACCGGUGGCGAAGGCGGCCCCCUGGCCCAAUACUGACACUGAGGUACGAAAGCGUGGGUAGCGAACAGGAUUAGAAACCCCAGUAGUCC
rnacentral:rRNA from 1 species